UACGAAGGGGGCUAGCGUUGCUCGGAAUCACUGGGCGUAAAGGGUGCGUAGGCGGGUCGUUUAAGUCAGGGGUGAAAUCCUGGAGCUCAACGUCCAGAACUGCCUUUGAUACUGAGGAUCUUGAGUUCGGGAGAGGUGAGUGGAACUGCGAGUGUAGAGGUGAAAUUCGUAGAUAUUCGCAAGAACACCAGUGGCGAAGGCGGCUCACUGGCCCGAUACUGACGCUGAGGCACGAAAGCGUGGGGAGCAAACAGGG
rnacentral:rRNA from 1 species